rnacentral:rRNA from 1 species
UACGUAGGGGGCGAGCGUUGUCCGGAUUUAUUGGGCGUAAAGAGCUCGUAGGCGGCUUGGCAAGUCGGGUGUGAAACCUCCAGGCUCAACCUGGAGACGCCACUCGAUACUGCUAUGGCUAGAGUCCGGUAGGGGACCACGGAAUUCCUGGUGUAGCGGUGAAAUGCGCAGAUAUCAGGAGGAACACCGAUGGCGAAGGCAGGUCUCUGGGCAUUAACUGACGCUGAGAAGCGAAAGCAUGGGGAGCGAACAGG